GGUCAAGUUUUUAAGGGCACACGGUGGAUGCCUUGGCAUUAGGAGCCGAAGAAGGACGUAGGAAUCUGCGAUAAGCCUGGGGGAGUUGAUAACCGAGCGUUGAUCCCAGGAUGUCCGAAUGGGGAAACCCCGCACAACGCUGUCAUGGUGAUUGUGUGACCCGCAUCUGAACACAUAGGGUGCGUGGGGGGAACGCGGGGAAGUGAAACAUCUCAGUACCCGCAGGAAGAGAAAACAAUAGUGAUUCCGUUAGUAGUGGCGAGCGAACGCGGAUCAGGCUAAACCGUUUCCAUGUGUGAUAGCCGGCGGGCGUUGCAUGGGCGGGGUUGUGGGACUUUCCGUUCUGGUUCUGCCGGACCAGUGAGGUGAGGUGCAGGCAUAGGUGAACGGUCUUGAAAGGCCGGCCAGAGAGGGUGUGAGCCCCGUAACCGUAAUGUUGUGCACGGCCUGGGGAGUAUCCCAAGUAGCACGGGGCCCGAGAAAUCCCGUGCGAAUCUGUCAGGACCACCUGAUAAGCCUAAAUACUUCCUAAUGACCGAUAGCGGACCAGUACCGUGAGGGAAAGGUGAAAAGUACCCCGGGAGGGGAGUGAAACAGUACCUGAAACCGUGUGCUUACAAUCCGUCGGAGCAGUCGUGAGUAAUCACAAGUAACUGUGACGGCGUGCCUUUUGAAGAAUGAGCCUGCGAGUUAGUGUUACGUCGCGAGGUUAACCCGUGUGGGGUAGCCGUAGCGAAAGCGAGUCUGAAUAGGGCGAGUGUAGUGGCGUGAUCUAGACCCGAAGCGGAGUGAUCUACCCAUGGCCAGGUUGAAGCGACGGUAAGACGUCGUGGAGGACCGAACCCACUUCAGUUGAAAAUGGAGGGGAUGAGCUGUGGGUAGGGGUGAAAGGCCAAUCAAACUCCGUGAUAGCUGGUUCUCCCCGAAAUGCAUUUAGGUGCAGCGUUGCGUGUUUCUUGCCGGAGGUAGAGCUACUGGAUGGCCGAUGGGCCCUACAAGGUUACUGACGUCAGCCAAACUCCGAAUGCCGGUAAGUCAGAGCGCAGCAGUGAGACUGUGGGGGAUAAGCUUCAUAGUCGAGAGGGAAACAGCCCAGACCACCAACUAAGGCCCCUAAGCGUGUGCUAAGUGGGAAAGGAUGUGGAGUUGCGAAGACAACCAGGAGGUUGGCUUAGAAGCAGCCAUCCUUGAAAGAGUGCGUAAUAGCUCACUGGUCAAGUGAUUCCGCGCCGACAAUGUAGCGGGGCUCAAGUACACCGCCGAAGUUGUGGAUUUCACAUAAUGCCCUAGCCUUCGUGGUUCAGGGGUGUGGAGUGGUAGGGGAGCGUCGUGUGGGCAGUGAAGUCGCGGUGGAAACCAGCGGUGGAGCCUACACGAGUGAGAAUGCAGGCAUGAGUAGCGAAAGACGGGUGAGAAACCCGUCCGCCGAAUGAUCAAGGGUUCCAGGGUCAAGCUAAUCUGCCCUGGGUAAGUCGGGACCUAAGGCGAGGCCGACAGGCGUAGUCGAUGGACAACGGGUUGAUAUUCCCGUACCGGCGAAAAACCGCCCAUGCCAAGCGGGGGAUACUAACCGCCCGGAGCCUGCCCGCCCACCCUUGUGGUGUGUGGGUUUUGGCCGAGCGCGGGACCUGAUCCCGGGAGGUAAGCGUAUUAACAGGUGUGACGCAGGAAGGUAGCCGGGCCGGGCGAUGGUUGCCCCGGUCUAAGGAUGUAGGGUCAGGGAUAGGCAAAUCCGUUCCUGUGUGCUUCGAGCACGAUCCUGAGAUCUGAUGGGACCCCCGU
rnacentral:rRNA from 1 species